CAGCAUGUUCCCAGGGUCUCUGGCUGCUUGUGGCCACGUGAUUGCCAACUGCAUGCCAGAACAACCUGGAGAGACUCUGACAGCCCAGGUCAGCAGUACCCGCAGCUACCACUCAGCUUUCCCAUGGUG
rnacentral:snoRNA from 1 species